rnacentral:rRNA from 1 species
UGGGGAAUAUUGCACAAUGGGCGCAAGCCUGAUGCAGCCAUGCCGCGUGUAUGAAGAAGGCCUUCGGGUUGUAAAGUACCUUCAGCGGGGAGGAAGGCGAUAAGGUUAAUAACCUUGUCGAUUGACGUUACCCGCAGAAGAAGCACCGGCUAACUCCGUGCCAGCAGCCGCGGUAAUACGGAGGGUGCAAGCGUUAAUCGGAAUUACUGGGCGUAAAGCGCACGCAGGCGGUCUGUCAAGUCGGAUGUGAAAUCCCCGGGCUCAACCUGGGAACUGCAUUCGAAACUGGCAGGCUAGAGUCUUGUAGAGGGGGGUAGAAUUCCAGGUGUAGCGGUGAAAUGCGUAGAGAUCUGGAGGAAUACCGGUGGCGAAGGCGGCCCCCUGGACAAAGACUGACGCUCAGGUGCGAAAGCGUGGGGAGCAAACA